AACGAACGCUGGCGGCAGGCUUAACACAUGCAAGUCGAACGGUUGUAGCAAUACAGCAGUGGCAGACGGGUGAGUAACACGUGGGAACCUUCCUAGGGGUACGGAACAACUCAGGGAAACUUGAGCUAAUACCGUAUACGUCCGUGAGGAGAAAGAUUUAUCGCCCUUAGACGGGCCCGCGUCGGAUUAGGUAGUUGGUGGGGUAACGGCCUACCAAGCCUACGAUCCGUAGCUGAUCUUAGAGGAUGAUCAGCCACACUGGGACUGAGACACGGCCCAGACUCCUACGGGAGGCUG
rnacentral:rRNA from 1 species